GAACGCGCGGUUGUAGCAAUACAGCUGGCGCGUGGCGAACGGGUGCGUAACACGUGGAUAACCUUCCUUGAGGUGGGGAAUAACCCAGUGAAAAUUGGGCUAAUACCGCAUAACAAGACGACGGCACAUGCUGUGGUCUUCAAAGGAGCAAUUCGCCACAAGAGGGAUCCGCGGCCGAUUAGCUAGUUGGCGAGGUAACGGCUCACCAAGGCAAUGAUCGGUAGCCGGUCUGAGAGGAUGAUCGGCCACACUGGAACUGAGACACGGUCCAGACUCCUACGGGAGGCAGCAGUGGGGAAUCUUGCACAAUGGGCGAAAGCCUGAUGCAGCAACGCCGCGUGGGGGAUGAAGCUUCUCGGAGUGUAAACCCCUUUCGACCCGGACGAAUGCCCGCAAGGGUUUGACGGUACGGGUAUAAGAAGCCCCGGCUAACUACGUG
rnacentral:rRNA from 1 species